AACGAACGCUGGCGGCAGGCUUAACACAUGCAAGUCGAACGAUGUAGCAAUACAUAGUGGCGCACGGGUGAGUAACACGUGGGAACAUGCCCUUCAGUUCAGAAUAACUACUGGAAACGGUAGCUAAUACUGAAUAUUCCCUCCGGGGGAAAGAUUUAUCGCUGAAGGAUUGGCCCGCGUUAGAUUAGGUAGUUGGUGGG
rnacentral:rRNA from 1 species